rnacentral:rRNA from 1 species
CAUGCAAGUCGAACGAGGGAAGCAGCUUGCUGCGGACCUAGUGGCGGACGGGUGAGUAACGUAUAGGAAUCUACCUUGGGGUGGGGGAUAACGUAUGGAAACGUACGCUAAUACCACAUAACACUUACGAGUCAAAGCGGGGGAUCUUCGGACCUCGCGCCCUUAGAUGAGCCUAUAUUGGAUUAGCUAGUUGGUGGGGUAAAGGCCUACCAAGGCGACGAUCCAUAGCUGGUUUGAGAGGAUGAUCAGCCACAUCGGGACUGAGACACGGCCCGAACUCCUACGGGAGGCAGCAGUGGGGAAUAUUGGACAAUGGGGGCAACCCUGAUCCAGCAAUGCCGCGUGUGUGAAGAAGGCCUUAGGGUUGUAAAGCACUUUCGUUAGUGAAGAAAGGUUUAUGGUUAAUACCUGUGAAUUUGACAUUAGCUAAAGWAGAAGCACCGGCUAA